AAAGCAAAGACUCCUCUCCAAUUCUGUGGACCCUGUGUCCAACUUUCAGGUGCUGCUAAGAGCAGGAGAAAUGAAAUCUCAAGUUGAAACUCCAAUGUGGUUCUAAUAUAGAAACUGGGCAUGCUCAGUA
rfam:Sarcophilus harrisii ctg7180002496440, whole genome shotgun sequence.